rnacentral:sRNA from 1 species
ACUGGAAAUUGUAAUUUUAUAAUGCAGGUAUUCUUCAUUAAAACACUGAUGUUUUUGUAUACAUUCCAUUCAUUGAUAAAUAUUUUUUUCAUUUCAAGUUGUCAAAUUUUGCAAACUUGUUGGAUUUUUGAAAUUUUCUUCGUUAAUGUAUUGGGAAUGUACGUUUUCUUUUGGUGUUUUUUGUUUUGCUUUUUCUACGUAUUUUGUUUUGUUUAAAAGGUAGAGAAAGAUAAAUUGUUGGUUUUAGCAGACAGUGCUAUGUGUUGUUUUAUAUUGUUUAAUUUUUAGAUAGAAUAUACAAGGUGUGUAUAUAUAUUUUUGCUUAUUUUCUUUUUUUUUUACAGUACUUUUCUACAUGCAAUGAUUAUCAUGAAAUUGUUGUAGUAGUUCAAUAGAAUUCAUUUUUCUUGUUUGUAUAGUUUUCAAUGAAAAAGAAUAAGUAAAUUUGAAAUUUU